rnacentral:rRNA from 1 species
ACGGAGGAUCCAAGCGUUAUCCGGAUUUAUUGGGUUUAAAGGGAGCGUAGGCGGCCUUUUAAGUCAGGGGUGAAAGACGGUGGCUCAACCAUCGCAGUGCCCUUGAUACUGAAGGGCUUGAAUGUAGCUGAGGUAGGCGGAAUGUGACAAGUAGCGGUGAAAUGCAUAGAUAUGUCACAGAACACCAAUUGCGAAGGCAGCUCGCUACACGAAUAUUGACUCUGAGGCACGAAAGCGUGGGGAUCAAACAGGA